GACGAACGCUGGCGGCGUGCUUAACACAUGCAAGUCGAACGGUGACCCAGGGCUUGCCCUGGUGAUCAGUGGCGAACGGGUGAGUAACACGUGGGCAACCUGCCCCUGACUUCGGGAUAACUCCUCGAAAGAGGAGCUAAUACCGGAUACGACCACUUCGGACAUCCGAUGGUGGUGGAAAGUUCUUCGGUCAGGGAUGGGCCCGCGGCCUAUCAGCUAGUUGGUGGGGUAAUGGCCUACCAAGGCGACGACGGGUAGCCGGCCUGAGAGGGCGACCGGCCACACUGGGACUGAGACACGGCCCAGACUCCUACGGGAGGCAGCAGUGGGGAAUAUUGCGCAAUGGGCGAAAGCCUGACGCAGCGACGCCGCGUGAGGGAUGAAGGCCUUCGGUUGUAAACCUCUUUCAGCAGGGACGAAGCGAAAGUGACGGUACCUGCAGAAGAAGCACCGGCUAACUACGUGCCAGCAGCCGCGGUAAU
rnacentral:rRNA from 1 species